GACGUAGGGCGCGAGCGUUGUCCGGAUUUAUUGGGCGUAAAGAGCUCGUAGGCGGUCUGUCGCGUCGGUCGUGAAAACUUGGGGCUUAACCCUGAGCUUGCGGUCGAUACGGGCAUGACUGGAGUUCGGUAGGGGAGACUGGAAUUCCUGGUGUAGCGGUGAAAUGCGCAGAUAUCAGGAGGAACACCGGUGGCGAAGGCGGGUCUCUGGGCCGAUACUGACGCUGAGGAGCGAAAGCGUGGGGAGCAAACAGG
rnacentral:rRNA from 1 species